rnacentral:rRNA from 1 species
UACAGGGGGUGCAAACGUUGCUCGGAAUUAUUGGGCGUAAAGCGCGCGUAGGCGGCUACUUAAGUCGGAUGUGAAAGCCCAGGGCUCAACCUUGGAAUUGCCUUUGAUACUGGCUGUCUUGAGUUCGGGAGAGGUGAGUGGAAUGCCGAGUGUAGAGGUGAAAUUCGUAGAUAUUCGGCGGAACACCAGUGGCGAAGGCGACUCACUGGCCCGAUACUGACGCUGAGGCGCGAAAGCGUGGGGAGCAAACAGG